AACAAAAAAAACCCUAGACCGAGAACUUCAGAUAACCGCUGGAAGCCACUCCGCCACCCCCAACAAUGGCGGUGGAGAGAUCGGAUGCUCCAAGCCGAGCCCUAACGACGACGCGCUUCUCCGACCUGCGCCCCUCGCUCUCCGACCCCGUCCUCGAAACCCUAACCCUAGGCGGUUUCCGCUUCUGCACCCCGGUCCAAGCCGCCACCAUCCCCCUCCUUUGCGGCCACAAGGACGUCGCCGUCGACGCGGCCACCGGCUCCGGGAAAACCCUAGCCUUCGUUGUCCCCUUCGUCGAGAUCCUUCGCCGAUGCCCUUCUCCUCCCAAAUCCAACCAGGUCAUGGGAAUGAUCAUUUCUCCAACAAGAGAAUUAUCAUCACAAAUAUACAAUGUUGCAGAGCCUUUUUUUUCCACAAUGCCGAACAUGAGGUCUAUGCUCCUCGUUGGAGGGGUAGAUAUAAAAUCAGAUAUCAAGAAAAUAGAAGAUGAAGGUGUGAAUGUAUUGGUCGGAACUCCUGGGAAGCUACAUGACAUAAUGGAGCGCCUGGACGUUUUAGACUUUCGAAAUUUUGAGAUCCUGAUUCUAGAUGAGGCUGAUAGGCUUUUAGAUAUGGGAUUUCAGAAGCAAAUUACUUCUGUCAUAUCUAGAUUGCCAAAACUCCGAAGAACAGGCCUUUUUUCAGCAACUCAAACGGAGGCAGUUGAGGAACUUUCUAGGGCAGGAUUAAGAAAUCCUGUAAGAGUUGAAGUUCGUACAGAAACUAAAGCAGUAGGCGAUGUGGGGAACUCACAAGACCUAGCCUCUUCAAGAACACCUCUAGGGCUUCAUAUAGAGUAUAUGGUAUGUGAAGCACCGAACAAGUCAUCACAGCUUGUUGACUUCCUAUUGAAGAACACGUCUAUGAAGAUAAUAGUAUAUUUCAUGACAUGUGCUUGUGUUGACUACUGGGGGAUCAUCCUUCCCCAACUAAACAUGCUUAAGGGUUCUUCAAUAAUUUCUCUUCAUGGGAAGAUGAAGCAGAGUGCGAGGGAGAAAGCAUUGGCAUCUUUCACAGCUCUAUCAAGUGGUAUCUUACUUUGCACAGAUGUUGCAGCAAGGGGACUUGACAUUCCAGGUGUCGAUUGGAUUGUGCAGUAUGAUCCACCUCAAGAUCCAAAUGUCUUCAUACAUCGAGUAGGCCGAACUGCACGGAUUGGUCGACAAGGAAGUGCUAUUGUAUUUCUCUUGCCCAAGGAGGACGCUUAUGUCGAGUUCCUGAGGCUUAGGCGUGUGCCUCUCAAGGAGAGGCAAUGUUUAGAUAAUGCUGAAGAUAUUGUUCCCCAGAUAAGAGCUGCUGCAAAAGAAGACCGAGAUGUUAUGGAGAAAGGGCUUAAAGCAUUCGUCUCGUACAUCCGUGCAUACAAAGAGCACCAGUGCUCUUACAUCUUCAGGUGGAAAGAACUGGAAAUCGGAAAAUUGGCCAUGGGAUAUGGCUUGCUUCAGAUCCCUUCAAUGCCAGAGGUGAAGCAUCAUUCUCUCUCUGUAGAUGAAUUUUCCCCUGUAGACGAUAUUGACGUGAUGCAGAUCAAGUACAAAGAUAAAGCUCGAGAAAAGCAACGCCAGAAGACUUUGCAAAGAAAGGAACCUGAUGCUUUUCACGGACCAAAAACGGAAAGAAACAAGAAGCCAGAUCUAGAAAAAGCUGCAGCUAUCACAAGGAAGAAAACAGGCAGACAACGCCGUGCAACUCAGACGAAAGAGGAUGACGAAGAAUUGGAGCAGGAAUAUCGCUUACUUAAAAAGCUGAAGCGAGGAGCGAUCGACGAAGAUGAAUAUGAGAAGCUUACAGGCUUCAGAAACUUUGAUGAGGAAGAUCCAUCAGACGACAAUCUUGAUGAGCUUGGCAAGAAAACUUCCAAGGUAAAGAAAAUUAAAGGAGCAAAACACAAGCAAAGAGGAAAUGCAAAAGGGUCUGCUAGAAAUUCUAAAGGUAAUAAGAAUUCGAAGGGUAAAUUGAAAUCUAAAGUCAAUAAAAUAAGGAAAUAAUUAGGAUGUGAUCAUUUCAGCUGUUUUAUACACGUUUAUUCACAACUGCGUGGAACUUAGAAAAUUGCACAAAAGGCAACUUCUUGCAAGACCUGUUGUGGAAGAUAAGGGCUAAGUAGAAGAUUAAGAACCCCAACUUGACCAGGAUGGUCAGAGUAAUCAGCUCGCUUCCAUUUUGAGGGCAGUGUUGAUCUACAAAGCUUAGUUGAGAUUAACUGGAGUAAACAUGAAUAAUACAGCUAAAGGGUUUAGGCGGUGCAUCCUUCAACCUGUUUUGCUUUCUCGACAUGAUGAAUGCUCCAACCAGUGAAUCAACGGAAGGUAGAACCAAAGCAAUCCUAUUAUCUAAUGGAAUAAGCAAAAUGUCACAGCUGUUGUAGAGCAAACAAUCCACUUUCUGCCCAAGACAAGUGAAGAAAAUCAUGAUUGAUAAAAGUACAUUGUAUAUUGUACCAAAUUUUAUUUAUUCUAACGAUUCAAUUAUAGUGAUACAACAACACAAUCAAAUAACUUAACAAUUUUCA